UGAAGCUGGAAUCGCUAGUAAUCGCAGGUCAGCAUACUGCGGUGAAUACGUUCCCGGGUCUUGUACACACCGCCCGUCACACCAUGGGAGCCGGAAAUGCCCGAAGCCAGUGACCCAACCUUAGGGAGGGAGCUGUCGAAGGUGGAGCCGGUAACUGGGGUGAAGUCGUAACAAGGUACC
rnacentral:rRNA from 1 species